AACGCGAAGAACCUUACCUAAGCUUGACAUCCCACUGACCUCUCCCUAAUCGGAGAUUUCCCUUCGGGGACAAUGGUGACAGGUGGUGCAUGGUUGUCGUCAGCUCGUGUCGUGAGAUGUUGGGUUAAGUCCCGCAACGAGCGCAACCCUUGUCUUUAGUUGCCAUCAUUAAGUUGGGCACUCUAGAGAGACUGCCGAGGAUAACUCGGAGGAAGGUGGGGAUGACGUCAAAUCAUCAUGCCCCUUAUGCUUAGGGCUACACACGUGCUACAAUGGGUGGUACAGAGGGCAGCCAAGCCGUGAGGUGGAGCAAAUCCCUUAAAGCCAUUCUCAGUUCGGAUUGUAGGCUGAAACUCGCCUACAUGAAGCUGGAGUUACUAGUAAUCGCAGAUCAGAAUGCUGCGGUGAAUGCGUUCCCGGGUCUUGUACACACCG
rnacentral:rRNA from 1 species